rnacentral:rRNA from 1 species
UACGUAGGGUCCGAGCGUUGUCCGGAGUUACUGGGCGUAAAGGGCGCGCAGGCGGCGGUGCUGGCCCGGCGUGAAAGCCCCCGGCUCAACCGGGGAGGGUCGUCGGGGACCGCACCGCUUGAGGGCGGUAGGGGCCGGUGGAAUGCCUGGUGUAGUGGUGAAAUGCGUAGAGAUCAGGCAGAACACCUGGGGCGAAGGCGGCCGGCUGGGCCGACCCUGACGCUGAGGCGCGAAGGCGUGGGGAGCGAAC